rnacentral:lncRNA from 7 species
GGCCACUUCUUUUCUCUGCUGCAGACUCGCUGUCCCCAAGCUGCUCCUGCCUCAUGGCACCAAUGGCGGUGGCCCACAUCCUCGGUUGGUGGCUGGUGGCAGCAAGCAGGGCACAGCAACUGCCCCGACCCUCCCUGUCGCUGCACCCCAGCCAGGGGUUGUCCCUGGGGGACUCUGUCACCAUGUGCUGCCACCUGCCCCAGCCGGCUGCCUGGGUUGAGCUCUGUCAGGAUGGACUUUUGAGAUCCUACAAGGACAUGGACAAGCAUCAGGUCAUGGCUGAGUUCUCCUUGGUUUGUGUAAAGCUGGAAGAUGCAAUGAAGUAUUGGUGCCAGUAUUGGGUUUUGGAGCCACCGGGGGUAUCAGAGAAGAGUGUCCCCAUUGAAUUGGUGGUGACAGGAAAAAAUUGUGGAAGUGGGGACCAAUGUCACCAUCCAGUGCUGCAAUCAGGGCUAUGGGGGCAUCAUCUUCUUGCACAAGGACGGGCACUCAGCCCCUGUCCAGCACCAGGACCCCCGUGGCGGGGGCACAGCCACCUUCAUCCUUGUUGCGGUGACCCCAGCUGACAGUGGCACCUACAGAUGCUCCUAUCGCCCCAAGGCCUCCCUCUUUGUGUCCUCACCCCUUGGGGACAGCGUAACGCUGGAGGUGACAUCCACACCUGCACGCCCAGGUGCUGAGUUGGUGUCCCGUGGGAACCUGGUGGUGGCAGUGGUGAGGGGCUGCGCUGCUGUCCUCAUCUUUGGCCUCGGCGUCUUCUUUGUCAUCGAUGCCCGCAGCCUCUGGAUACGGAGAGAUGAGAGUCUGGGUGGGGAAGGGAUUUAAUGGCUUUGAUCUCCUGUACAUCUCCUACACAUCUCCCCCGUCUUUCUCUUCCUCUCCUUCCAUUCUUCUCUAGAAUCCACCAGGUGGGUCCACAAUACAUUGCCUAUCGAUUCCCUCAGAUGUUCCCUGUCCCCAUCCAUCUCCUAUAAAUCCAUCAUGUAUCCCCUGCCUCCCCUUCCAGACCCUAUAAAUUAUCUAGAC